rnacentral:rRNA from 1 species
AAUACUGGAUACGAGUAGCGGCCGCAUGGUCAGUUACUGGAAAGAUUUUUUGGUUGGGGAUGGGCUCGCGGCCUAUCAGCUUGUUGGUGAGGUAAUGGCUCACCAAGGCGUCGACGGGUAGCCGGCCUGAGAGGGUGACCGGCCACACUGGGACUGAGACACGGCCCAGACUCCUACGGGAGGCAGCAGUGGGGAAUAUUGCACAAUGGGCGGAAGCCUGAUGCAGCAACGCCGCGUGAGGGAUGACGGCCUUCGGGUUGUAAACCUCUUUUAGCAGGGAAGAAGCGAAAGUGACGGUACCUGCAGAAAAAGCGCCGGCUAACUACGUGCCAGCAGCCGCGGUAAUACGUAGGGCGCAAGCGUUAUCCGGAAUUAUUGGGCGUAAAGAGCUCGUAGGCGGUUUGUCGCGUCUGCUGUGAAAUCCCGAGGCUCAACCUCGGGCCUGCAGUGGGUACGGGCAGACUAGAGUGCGGUAGGGGAGAUUGGAAUUCCUGGUGUAGCGGUGGAAUGCGCAGAUAUCAGGAGGAACACCGAUGGCGAAGGCAGAUCUCUGGGCCGUAACUGACGCUGAGGAGCGAAAGGGUGGGGAGCAAACAGGCUUAGAUACCCUGGUAGUCCACCCCGUAAACGUUGGGAACUAGUUGUGGGGUCCAUUCCACGGAUUCCGUGACGCAGCUAACGCAUUAAGUUCCCCCCCCUGGGGAGUAC